rnacentral:rRNA from 1 species
UACGUAGGGGGCUAGCGUUGUCCGGAAUCAUUGGGCGUAAAGCGCGUGUAGGCGGCCCGGUAAGUCCGCUGUGAAAGUCGGGGGCUCAACCCCUCGAAAGCCGGUGGAUACUGUCGGGCUCGAGUACGGAAGAGGCGAGUGGAAUUCCUGGUGUAGCGGUGAAAUGCGCAGAUAUCAGGAGGAACACCGGUGGUGUAAACGGCUCGUCUGGACCGUAACUGACGCUGAGACACGAAAGCGUGGGUAGCAAACAGG